GUGUCAGCCGCCGCGGUAAUACAGAGGGUGCAAGCGUUGUUCGGAAUUAUUGGGCGUAAAGGGAGUGUAGGCGGUUUGGUAAGUCUUCUGUGAAAUCUACGGGCUUAGCCUGUAACGUGCAGAGGAAACUACCAGGCUUGAGUGUCGGAGAGGAUAGGGGAAUACCCAGUGUAGAGGUGAAAUUCGUAGAGAUUGGGUGGAACACCAGUGGCGAAGGCGCCUAUCUGGCUGACAACUGACGCUGAGACUCGAAAGCAUGGGGAGCAAACAGGAUUAGAAACCCGAGUAGUCC
rnacentral:rRNA from 1 species